rnacentral:lncRNA from 1 species
AGUGCUGCUGAGUCAACCAGGCGGGGCGCUUAGUGAAUCUUCUCGGAGAGGAGGGGAAACAACAAUGGGAGGAGCUAGCGGGAAGGAGCCUGGACUUCCCUCAAAGGCUGUAUGCAUCAGACCCAGGUAUCAUUGAGGAGGUGGAAAGUGUGCAAGAUCAUAACUACAAGGAAACUGUUCUUCAGAUACAUAAGCAACAGAUGAGCUCAAAGUGAUUGUGACAGGAUGCACAAGACCUGUGUAAGCUCCAAGCAGACAAAAUCCCAACAGGAAAAGACACCUUAUCCUCAAGAUUGAUCCUUGUUUUACCUUUAUCCUGGAUAUUUAAUGACUUCUCUGGGUUAGCCUUGUAAAGCCUGUAUCAUUUGCCAUGUGAUUUCCUGGCUGCGUCUUCUCUCAAAGUCCAAUGAUUCCCUACUGGAUGUUGAAAUCUUCAGCAGCUGUGCCAAUACAUUUCCUGGUUUGUCUCAGAGACUUUGUGUUAUGGGAGGCAGGUCUUCAAACCAAAAUGACAACCGACAGCUACUUCUGCCUAUUCUACUUCUGCUUUUUAAGGGCCUCUGGGUCAGAAUAUAUCAAAGUUUCUCAGAGACACCAUGGGUAUCUUCUCAUUCCCUUCCAAUUCCCUACAUUGGCCUGGUGUUUAUAAUUAAUAAACAAUGUUGUGGGCAACUGAGACCUU